rnacentral:rRNA from 1 species
AGGUGAUAUGAACCGUUAUAACCGGCGAUUUCCGAAUGGGGAAACCCAGUGUGUUUCGACACACUAUCAUUAACUGAAUCCAUAGGUUAAUGAGGCGAACCGGGGGAACUGAAACAUCUAAGUACCCCGAGGAAAAGAAAUCAACCGAGAUUCCCCCAGUAGCGGCGAGCGAACGGGGAGGAGCCCAGAGUCUGAAUCAGUGUGUGUGUUAGUGGAAGCGUCUGGAAAGGCGUGCGAUACAGGGUGACAGCCCCGUACACAAAAAUGCACAUAUUGUGAGCUCGAUGAGUAGGGCGGGACACGUGGUAUCCUGUCUGAAUAUGGGGGGACCAUCCUCCAAGGCUAAAUACUCCUGACUGACCGAUAGUGAACCAGUACCGUGAGGGAAAGGCGAAAAGAACCCCGGCGAGGGGAGUGAAAAAGAACCUGAAACCGUGUACGUACAAGCAGUGGGAGCCUCUUAAUGGGGUGACUGCGUACCUUUUGUAUAAUGGGUCAGCGACUUAUAUUCUGUAGC